UGUAGAUUCGAACUUAUCAACGCAUAAUUUUUCAAAUAAAAUUUUCACCCAGUCUAGAACUAGAGAAUCAAGUUUUGUAGUUCGUUAACAAAAUAUUAAAAAAACUUGCAGAGUUCUAAAGGCAUUGUUGUAGGGUAGGAAAACGGAAGAGGGAUGCAGCGACUGUUGUUGAUUUCGCUUUUGUUUGGAUUUAUAAUCAGCGUAGAGUCUGUUCCAGCAAGCGUAUGUGCAGGAAGACAGUGUUUCGUGGAUGGAUUAUGUAAUACUACUAUUUACAACGACUGCGGGUGUAAAAAGGGCUAUAGAUUUUCGAAUGGAUCAAAUGAUACAUGCGUUGACCAGGACGAAUGCUUUCAUCACAUACACGACCCUUGCGGUCACAGAGGACGGUGCAUCAACACAGUUGGUGA